GUGCAGGUGCCCGCAAGGGCCUAACAGAGAAGCCGGUUCAACGCCGGCGCGGUCCCGCCACUGUAAUGGGGAGCAAACCCGGAAGCGCUAAUUGCGCUACGCCACUGAGACGCCAAGUCUUGGGAAGGUCCGGUCAAGCGAUGAGCCAGAGCCAGGAGAACUGCCUGCAUG
rnacentral:ncRNA from 1 species